rnacentral:rRNA from 1 species
CAGUCGCCGCGGGAAUACGAAGGGGGCUAGCGUUGUUCGGAAUUACUGGGCGUAAAGCGCACGUAGGCGGAUAUUUAAGUCAGGGGUGAAAUCCCGCAGCUCAACUGCGGAACUGCCUUUGAUACUGGGUAUCUCGAGUCCGGAAGAGGUGAGUGGAAUUCCGAGUGUAGAGGUGAAAUUCGUAGAUAUUCGGAGGAACACCAGUGGCGAAGGCGGCUCACUGGUCCGGUACUGACGCUGAGGUGCGAAAGCGUGGGGAGCAAACAGGAUUAGAUACCCCGGUAGUCCCUGUCUCUUAUAC